rnacentral:rRNA from 1 species
ACAGAGGGUGCAAACGUUGUUCGGAAUUACUGGGCGUAAAGCGCGUGUAGGCGGUCGUGCAAGUCGGGUGUGAAAGCCCUGGGCUCAACCCAGGAAGUGCACUCGAAACUGCUCGACUUGAGUCUCGGAGAGGGAAGCGGAAUUCUGGGUGUAGAGGUGAAAUUCGUAGAUAUCCAGAGGAACACCGGUGGCGAAGGCGGCUUCCUGGACGAGUACUGACGCUGAGACGCGAAAGCGUGGGGAGCAAACAGG